AACAAACGCUGGCGGCGUGCCUAACACAUGCAAGUCGUACGAGAAAAUUCGCUUCGGCGAGUAAGUAAAGUGGCGCACGGGUGAGUAACGCGUGGAUAAUCUACCCUUUAGCUGGGGAUAACUCAUCGAAAGGUGGGCUAAUACCCGAUAAUACUGCUUCUACUGCGGUUGAGCAGUCAAAGGUAGCCUCUGUUUACAAGCUUCCACUGAAGGAUGAGUCCGCGUACCAUUAGCUAGUUGGUAGGGUAAUGGCCUACCAAGGCGACGAUGGUUAGCUGGUCUGAGAGGAUGAGCAGCCACACUGGAGCUGAGACACGGUCCAGACUCCUACGGGAGGCAGCAGUGAGGAAUCUUGCGCAAUGGGGGAAACCCUGACGCAGCAACGCCGCGUGAGUGAGGAAGGUUUUCGGAUCGUAAAGCUCUGUCAGGUGGGAAGAAAUGUAUAGGGGUUAACAGGCCUUAUUCUUGACGGUACCACCAGAGGAAGCACCGGCCAACUCCGUGCCAGCCGCCGCUGUAACAC
rnacentral:rRNA from 1 species